GUCGUGGGUAGAAGCUUUCGGGUCGUAAAACUCUGUUGUUCGGGAAGAACUCGUUGGUCCUAAACUGCUCGUACCUUGACGGUACCUAACCAGAAAGCCACGGCUAACUACGUGCCAGCAGCCGCGGUAAUACGUAGGUGGCAAGCGUUAUCCGGAAUUAUUGGGCGUAAAGCGCGCGCAGGCGGUUUCUUAAGUCUGAUGUGAAAUCCCACGGCUCAACCGGGGAGGGGCAUUGGAAACUGGGGAACUUGAGUGUGGAAGAGAAAAGUAGAAUUCCACGUGUAGCGGUGAAAUGCGUAGAGAUGUGGAGGAACACCNAUGGCGAAGGCGGCUUUUUGGUCUGUAACUGACGCUGAUGCGCGAAAGCGUGGGGAGCAAACAGGAUUAGAUACCCUGGUAGUCCACGCCCUAAACGAUGACUGCUAANUGUUGGAGGGUUUCCGCCCUUUAGUGCUGCCUCAAACGCAUUAUUGACUCCGCCUGGGGAGUACGGUCGCAAGACUGAAUCUCAAAGGAUUUGACGGAC
rnacentral:rRNA from 2 species